rnacentral:pre_miRNA from 1 species
ACAGUUGGUCGGUGGCAUUCGCCUCUGUUUCGCGCGCAAGAUGUGAUGUUAGUCCUGCUCCUGUGCGUGUGACAGCGGCUGAUGCACCGGCCAAAACGUCG